rnacentral:rRNA from 1 species
GACAGAGGGUGCAAACGUUGUUCGGAAUUACUGGGCGUAAAGCGUGUGUAGGCGGCUACGCAAGUCGGAUGUGAAAGCCCCGGGCUCAACCCGGGAAGUGCACCCGAAACUGCGUGGCUCGAGUACCGGAGAGGUUGGUGGAAUUCUCGGUGUAGAGGUGAAAUUCGUAGAUAUCGAGAGGAACACCGGUGGCGAAGGCGGCCAACUGGACGAGUACUGACGCUGGAGAACACGAAAGCGUGGGGAGCAAACAGG